UUACUAUUCCAAGGGCAAAAAAGAAGGAAAAAAAUAGAAAAGCAAAAGAACUCUGUAGGUUGUACUACCAUUUUCUCACAUUUUGUACUACCAUUUUACCCAAUUCUCCAUUUUCCCCAAUUCACAUUUUCCCCAAUUCUCUUACUAUCAAUUUCUAUUACAUCAAUUAAGCAAUUUUAAUUAAGCAAUUUCAAAAACUUCAAAUUCUCAAUUUUCCCCAAUUCUCCAUUUUUGAGGCCAUAAAUUACUCAAAAAUUCUGAGAGGAAAAUUACUUAUAAUUUCUUGAAAAUUCUGAGAGGAAAACUAAGCAAAGAAAUCUGAGGAAGUAGACAAAGGCGGCACUCAAGCGGUGGCUGGUUGCUCGAACUUCAGGCGACGGCUGGUUGGUCGAACUUCAGGCGGUGUAAUUUUAGUGGAGAAAUCCCAUUUUCAUCUUGCAUGUCCCUUCCUUGUGGAUAAUAUCUCGAAUUUCAGUUCAAGGUAUGGCUCCAAAGGAGCAUCUAGUGCGCCACAUCUUCUCGUUGACCAAAAUGGGCAAUCUUCUAAAUAUGGGGCCACAAUUAAUCAGGUGCAUGGCGAGCAAAAUGGAGAUGAAGUAUAGUGACUAGAUGACUAGUCAUCUAAAAAAUGGUGCAAAUAUGUUGGCGACUCCUAUAUUCUAUUAAGUUCAAGUCUGUGAAGAUUUGGAAAUUUCAGCUUAUAUAUAUGUUGGAAUUUGUAUUUUGGACGAUUAAAUUAAUUAUAUAACUUUAGUUUAGUAGGGUGUCAUACCGAAAACAAGCAAGUAAUAUUUUGUAAUGUACGUAUUUAGCAUUAUAAUUAUUAUAUAUAAAUUU